CCUAACGGUUAAUACCCGUUAGCGAUGACAUUAGCUGCAGAAUAAGCACCGGCUAACUCUGUGCCAGCAGCCGCGGUAAUACAGAGGGUGCAAGCGUUAAUCGGAAUUACUGGGCGUAAAGCGAGCGUAGGUGGCUUGAUAAGUCAGAUGUGAAAUCCCCGGGCUUAACCUGGGAACUGCAUCUGAAACUGUUAAGCUAGAGUAGGUGAGAGGGAAGUAGAAUUCCAGGUGUAGCGGUGAAAUGCGUAGAGAUCUGGAGGAAUACCGAUGGCGAAGGCAGCUUCCUGGCAUCAUACUGACACUGAGGCUCGAAAGCGUGGGUAGCAAACAGGAUUAGAUACCCUGGUAGUCCACGCCGUAAACGAUGUC
rnacentral:rRNA from 1 species